GCCGGCCUCACCUACGGUGCCGCAAAAUGCCGGUGCCUUUACUGCACUUUACGACUAGCGGGAGGGGGACGGGCUCGCGGACUCCUGGGCUGCGGAGAUAUGGGGGCGAAAGUUCAACUAGGUGUCUCCCUGGUGAAGCGUCAGAUUGGCAAAUCCAGCAGUGUGUGUCCUUCUGACUUCCCAACAAGGUCCAAGUUCAGUUCUAUAUUAGGCAUAAAACUCCUAGUCUCACUCUGUCACCCAAGCUGGAGUGCAGUGGCAUGAUCUUGGUCCACCGCAAUCUUCGCCUCCCGGAUUCAAACAACUCUUGUGCCUCAGCCUCUGGAGUAGGUAGGAUUACAGGGGACUGGAUCCUGUCCAUAACUGCUGACCAGUUUCUGGAUGGGCUGCUGCACAUCACCCACUUUUGCCUAAGAUCUCACCUAAGAUUGAAUUUUGUGUCCAAAAACUUCAAAAGCUACCAGAGUAUUGUGAAAGAAGAAACACUGUUGUCGAAGGCUGCUGAUAUUGCCUAUUAGCCAGAAGAAAGAACCUGAAUCAUUCAAAGGUUUUCCAUCUGGCAAAGAAGUCCAGAAGUACUGGACCGUCUGCCUAGAUCUGCAUGUGCUAAGUAUCCAAGUAAGUUGGAGCAACAUAUCAACGGCAACCAGUGAAGAAAUGAAAGCUUGUGUAUUUCAGUUUUGUAUUGAAAUGUUCUUUGGGUUCAUAAAAUAUUUAGGGGCUACAUAAAGAAGAAAGACUUUGGAAUCAAAGGCAAGCUUUGGAAUCAAACACAGCUUCUGUUCAAUGAAACUAGGAAAUCAAUAUCUAUCAAAGGCUCCGUGUUAAUCGGUACCAAUUUCUCACCACGUUUUGAUUAGAAGAAAAUCGAGCUGCAAACAUUUAAGGAUUUGUCUGACUGAAUACUGACUUAAAGUUCUGAUCUCUAAUAAUGUCAGGCAUAUUGUCUUGGUAAAUUGUACAGUUCACGUCUCGCCUAUGAGUUCCAGAUGUGUAUAUGCAACUGCCUGCUGGAUUUCUACUUGAGUGUCUUAGAUAAUUUCUCAAACUUGGCUUGUGGAAAACUGAAAACCUCGAUCUUCCUAAAAAGCUGUUUUUCUAUCAUUUAGUUCAUCAGCUAAAAACUUUGGAGUUAGACAUAUGGAAAGCCCGUCCUAAGGGAAGAAUCAGAGGAGAAGGGAUACAAGACCCCAGGAGCACACCCAGCGCCUUAAUAUGCAUGCUUCGUCUCUCUAAAAUGGUGGAACCUGUUUGUUUACCUGUCUGUAGCAGACACAGGAGUUGUCCUCACACUGUGCGUCCUGACUUCCACAGGAAUUUGAGUUGUAGCUGCAAUGCAGCUACCAACCAGGGAUACAGUUUCUCAGCCCCACGCCUUGCACCUACAGCUAAGUGUGGCCUUGUGACUGGUUUUCAUCAAUUAAGUAUGAAUAGAAACAAAGUGCACCACCUUCAUUUGGAGGCUUCGAAGAAGCAAGGGUACCCUUCAUUUGCUCUCUUUCGCCUUGUGCUGGGGGGAUACAGAUGACAAUAAGGCCCUGGGUGAUGAUGCAGCCACAAGAUGCAAAAUGCCUCAGACCUGAAUCACCACGUGGAAGAGAGAAGCCCACUGACCUAGAACAUCCACCCUGGUCUAUAGAUGAACAAGAAAUAAACUUCUAUUAUGUUUGAACAUUGCAGAUUUGGUUCCGUUAUAGCAGUUUAUCUUGCCCUGAGUAAACUGUUACCUGUCUUUCAAGAGAUAGGCAAGUUUAGCCAGAGUGCCCUCCUUCCCCGAAAGUGAUUUUUUUAAUAUAUGUAAUCUAUAUGUUAAUUCAUACUCUCCAAAGCAUAUCCACAUCUAUUCAACUAUGCUUAUGUAUCAAGAGAAACCUCAUACAAAUAAAUAUAAAGGUUUUAAAAAAAGACACUUUGGAGUAAUCCUUGACCCUGUCCUCUUUUCUCACACCCAUAUCUAAACCAUCAAGAAAUCUUGUUGAUUCAGCCUUCAAAAUCUACCCAGGACUUAAACACUAAUCAACCUCUUCUCCUCUGUCAGUCUGUUCUCCUACAUUUCAUUUUAAUCAUCCUUAGAAACUCCUAACCAGUCUUAGUGCUUUCACCAUUGUACUUCCAGACUCUUCUCAAAUAGCAGCCAAUGAGAUCCUACGGCACUUCUGCUCAAAACCUGCAAAUGGCUCCCUACUGCACUUAGGGUAAAACCAGGUGGGGCCUGCACAAUCUGGCCUCACCUCCUAUAGUUUUCCUCCUUGCUCAUUCUGCCAGCCACACUGCUUUUCUUGCUUUUCCAUGAACGUGCUAGACACACUCUCACGUUUGGGCUUUUGCACUUAUUUCCCUUCCCAGAAUACUCUCCUCGUGGAUACGCACAUCCAGCCCCUCAUCUCCUUCAAAUUUUAGUUCAAAUGCCACUUUCUCAAUGAGGGUUUCCUGAUCAGCUUAUUUAAACUUACAGUCUCCCCUUAUCUAAUGCCUUGUCUUUGCUUUACUUUUCUUCAUAGUAAUUACCACAUCUGACUUACACUUGCUUGCCUUUCUUGUUUAUUUUCUGUUUUCCCCACUCAAAUGUAGUCCAGAAGGAAAGGGACUCUUGUGUCAUUUGUUCAUUCCUCUAUCCCCUGGGCCUGAGCAUGGCUUUGGGUAGACACCCAGUAGAUGUUUGUUUAAAUGGAUAAAUAAAUGAAUAAAUGGCAUUUACUACCUUAUAUGGUACUAUAAUAUAAAAGCAUACUAUGCAGGGAAUUAGGAAUCUAGAAACUAGUUUUGACUCAGCCUCCUAUGAACAAGGUUGUGUGGACAAGUCAUUUCACCUCUCUGAGUCUCAUUUUUCUAAUAUUUAAAAUCUAUCCUACAGAAGUGUAAAAUGUUUAAAUAUAGAUUAGCUUAGGGAAUGCAGUCUCACGUGUGCACAAUGAAAGAAUUUCUACAUACCUUCCAUGUAUCCACAAUCAAUGGUUUAUCUAAAAUUUGUCAGGAAAAUUAAGUUCUAUAUGAGCAGAUUUUUAAAAAAAUUGUCACUGAAAGAGAUAUCCAAAUAAGCCAAAACCUUCUCUAGAGACAGGAUGCAAUAGAGAAACUCUAGCAGAAUUAGGUUCCGUGGGAAAGGCACUCUCGAUGCCUUCCUCAUAUCCUUGCACUCAUAAUAGGGUUUGAAUUAAAGAACAAGAAACAAAGCAGACUUGCAUUUUUCGUCUUUAGCCAAGCUCCUCUGGUUUGCAUAGUCACAACAUCAUUCAAAUGACCGUUUUUGGAGUUUUUAUUUAGAGUACCCUUUUUCUCAGCUGAGAGAAAUGAAUAUCUGAUGCUUUGUUUUUCCAAAUUGUUUGAAAACUGAGUAAUGCUAUAAAGCUUUUUAAAUGUUUUAGAGGUAUAGCAAGUGAACUGUUUAUAAGUUUCUGGGAUUUUUGAAAAUAUUAUUAUUUUUUUUGAAGUGGAGUCUUGCUCUGUUGCCCAGGCUGGAGUGCAGUGGUGCAAUCUUGACUCACUGCAACCUCUCCUGCCGAGGUUCAAGAGAUUCUCAUGCACCAGCCUCCCAGGUAGCUGGGACUACAGGCGUGCACCACUAUGCCUGGCUAAUUUUUUUUUUUUUUUUGUAUUUUUAGUAGAGACGUGGUUUCAUCAUGUUGGCCAGUCUGACCUCAAGUAAUCCGCCCACCCUGGCCUCCCAAACUGCUGGGAUUACAGGUAUGAGCCACUGCACCUGGCCUGAACAUAUUUUUUACAUUCAAUUUAAUGAUGAUUUGUUCAGAUUCCUUUUAUAUUAUUUUCUAAUGAAUACCUCAAUAUUUCUCUUAUAUGCUGGUCACUUAUCAGAUGGAUUCCCACUGAAU